rnacentral:lncRNA from 1 species
GAAACCCAGGAUAAUACAUAAACAACAGUGUGCAUGCCGUGAGAACAUGUUAUUGACCCCACAUGCAACAGUUGGCAUCCGCUUGGAAAUGUAGCUUCCUCUUUUUUCUCCUUCUCAUGGUGAUACCUUAAAAAAUAUGAGAGACUCAAUUGAAAUCAAAAUAAAUAACUAAGCAUCUGAUUAAACAAGUAGAAUUUUAGUAUCAAUUGUAUAAUUCUAGAAGAAGAAAAGCCAGCACCGAUAGAAAUUGCAUGAAAAAGAGCAAUUGCAAAUAAAGCAAGCCCGUAGUAUGUAUGGACGACUAGGAGCCCUUUCAUUGACAGUGACAGAUGAAAUCAAAUGACAACUGUUAAAUGUCUGUCGCGAUGAAAACAGUACUAGACUAUAAAAUUGAUACAAAUAUCUGUAGCACAACCAACUAAGAAAAAGAUCGCUGGAGUCAGGUUCGAGAUCACCCCAUGCGUUAAGCACAUGAAGAAAAAGAGUACUACCUCCCUCACACGCAUUGAUGCAAAGUAGCUAGUACUCCCUCCGUUUUUAAAUAUAAGUCCUUUUAGGGAUUUCAUUAGAAAACUACAUACGAAACAAAAUGGGUGAAUCUACAUACUGAAAUAUGUUUGCAUUUGUAUGUAGUUUCCUAGUAAAACCUCUAAAAGACUUAUAUUUAGAAACGGAAGGAGUAGGAAAUAGAUGAAUGGAUGAAUGAACCCCGAACCAUUUCUCAUGGGUAUCUCUACUAUUAAAGGGGAUCUGUCGUCGUCGUGAUGGUUCCACCUGGUGCGAUCCCCCUCCCAACGCUAACGCUGGCUAUCCUCCCACCCACGUUCCACCAUCGAUUUUUAUUCAACCCUCCAAAAACCAGUCGGUUUAAUUAAAAAAAUCUCUUUCUCCCCUCCUGCCAACCCACGGAGAAAAGAAAUCGCAAGGGAAAAACCAGGUUCGAGGUUAGCGCAAAAAACAAAACAGGCAUGUUCUCCACCUCAUCCCAGAAAGACGAACCGCCCGCAUCCCCUCCCCCACGACCACCCACCGAACGCCUCCCUGUCCAUCGGAUGCCGCUCUCGCCGACGACCACCCGACGCCUUCCCCUAACACCUCCUUCCCCACCUGACAACUCCCUCUCCCGCGACCACCUUGCGCAUCCCUCUCCAGAGGACGACCCUCUCUCCGGCGGAUGGCCCCCUCUCUAGAGGACGACCCUCUCUCUGGCGGAUGGCCCCCCUCUCCGGUGGACGCCCCCUCUCCUACAGCCACGGCCACCCUGCACCUCCCUCUCCAACGGAUGGCCUCCUCACGGGCUCCUCCCUCUAACCCCAUCAAUUUUGUGCCUCCCAUCCGUGGAUCUUUCGUCAUUCCCGCGAGCGGCCAUGGUCGGGAUGGCUUGACCAUAGACCAAUGCGACGACGGUGAGGGGGUCGUGGUGGUCUGAGCCAUGGCGGUAGAGACGGCGACGGUGGUCAAGGUGGAGAAGCGGUACGCGAGCUAUAGCAAUGGAGGCAGCGACGGUACCAGGGAGGAGGAGAAGAGGUGCGCGAGGUACAGUAGUGGAGGCGGUGCCAGAGGUCGAGGAGGAGGGGCAGUGGCAAGCUUUCGGCGGGGUAUGUCGGGUGCUCGCUGGAAUCCCUAACCAGUGGAAGCGACUGAAGAACCACACCAUGCACGUGACUGUAUCAACGCCUCCAACCCCUACCAUGACUGCUCUCAGCGAUGUGUUAAGAAGAUUUCCGAUGCCNNNNNN